AUGAACGCUAGCGACAGGCCUAACACAUGCAAGUCGAGGGCAGCACAAGGAGCAAUCUGAGGUGGCGACCGGCGCACGGGUGAGUAACACGUAUGCAACCUGCCUGUAAGCGGGGAAUAACCCGUUGAAAGACGGACUAAUACCGCAUAAUACUAAAUUACUGCAUGGUAAUUUAUUUAAACAUUUAUGGCUUACAGAUGGGCAUGCGCAUGAUUAGCUAGUUGGAGAGGUAACGGCUCCCCAAGGCAACGAUCAUUAGGGGUUCUGAGAGGAAGGUCCCCCACACUGGUACUGAGACACGGACCAGACUCCUACGGGAGGCAGCAGUGAGGAAUAUUGGUCAAUGGACGAGAGUCUGAACCAGCCAAGUCGCGUGCAGGAAGAAUUGUCCUAUGGAUUGUAAACUGCUUUUGCAGGGGAAUAAAGUGCAUCACGUGUGAUGUUUUGUAUGUACUCUGCGAAUAAGGAUCGGCUAACUCCGUGCCAGCCGCCGC
rnacentral:rRNA from 1 species